rnacentral:rRNA from 1 species
UACAGAGGAUGCAAGCGUUAUCCGGAAUGAUUGGGCGUAAAGCGUCUGUAGGUGGCUUUUUAAGUCCGCCGUCAAAUCCCAGGGCUCAACUCUGGACAGGCGGUGGAAACUACCAAGCUGGAGUACGGUAGGGGCAGAGGGAAUUUCCGGUGGAGCGGUGAAAUGCGUAGAUAUCAUUUGGAACGCCAAUGGUGAAAACAGGUAGCUGGGGCUGUGCUGACACUGAGACACGAAAGCCAGGGGAGCAAACGGG